CCUACGGGGAGCAGCAGUGGGGAAUAUUGGGCAAUGGGCGCAAGCCUGACCCAGCAACGCCGCGUGAAGGAAGAAGGCUCUCGGGUUGUAAACUUUUUUUCUGAGGGACGCAGUUAGUUACGGUACUUCAGGAAUAAGCCAUGGCUAACUACGUGCCAGCCGCUGCCGUAAUACGUAGGUGGCAAGUUUUACCCGGAUUUAUUGGGUUUAAAGGGCGUGUAGGCGGGAAAGCAAGUCAGAUGUGAAAACUCAGGGCUCAACCCUGAGCGUGCAUUUGAAACUGUUUUUCUUGAGUGCUGGAGAGGCAAUCGGAAUUCCGUGUGUAGCGGUGAAAUGCAUAGAUAUACGGAGGAACACCAGUGGCGAAGGCGGAUUGCUGGACAGUAACUGACGCUGAGGCGCGAAAGCGUGGGGAGCAAACAGGAUUAGAUACCCCGGUAGUC
rnacentral:rRNA from 1 species